rnacentral:rRNA from 1 species
GGGCCCGCACAAGCAGAGGAGCAUGUGGCUUAAUUCGAUGCAACGCGAAGAACCUUACCCGGGUUUGACAUGCGGCUGCACCUCCGGUGAAAGCCGGAUUCCUUCGAGGGUGCCGCACAGGUGCUGCAUGGCUGUCGUCAGUUCGUGCCGUGAGGUGUUUGGUUAAGUCCAGCAACGAACGCAACCCCUGUGUCCAGUUGCCAUCGGGCAAUGCCGGGAACUCUGGACAGACUGCCCGUUCACACGGGAGGAAGGUGGGGACGACGUCAAGUCAGUAUGGCCCUUACGCCCGGGGCUGCACACGUGCUACAAUGGCCGGUACAGAGGGAAGCGAUGCCGCGAGGCGGAGCCCAACCCCAAAACCGGCCCCAGUUCAGAUCGGGGUCUGCAACCCGACCCCGUGAAGUCGGAUUUGCUAGUAACGGCGCAUCAGCUACGGCG